rnacentral:antisense_RNA from 1 species
GUGCCCCAGUUUCUCUGGCAGCCUUUGUUGGAAAGAUUAAUUGUUACUUGUUAGUAACUUAGACUGAAGCAGUUUUCUAAUUUUGCAUUCCAUUGCCUGCCUCGUGGACAGAUUAGAUUGAUUCUUAUGAGAUUAAUCACUCAAAGUGCCCUCUUAUCAAUGAAACUUACCAUUCUGAGAUUUUUUAGCUCUU